GAUGAACGCUGGCGGCGUGCUUAACACAUGCAAGUCGAACGGUGAAGGCGGAGCUUGCUCUGCUGGAUCAGUGGCGAACGGGUGAGUAACACGUGAGCAAUCUGCCCCUGACUCUGGGAUAAGCGCUGGAAACGGCGUCUAAUACUGGAUACGAGCUGCGAAGGCAUCUUCAGCAGCUGGAAAGAAUUUCGGUCAGGGAUGAGCUCGCGGCCUAUCAGCUUGUUGGUGAGGUAAUGGCUCACCAAGGCGUCGACGGGUAGCCGGCCUGAGAGGGUGACCGGCCACACUGGGACUGAGACACGGCCCAGACUCCUACGGGAGGCAGCAGUGGGGAAUAUUGCACAAUGGGCGAAAGCCUGAUGCAGCAACGCCGCGUGAAGGACGACGGCCUUCGGGUUGUAAACCUCUUUUAGCAGGGAAGAAGCGAAAGUGACGGUACCUGCAGAAAAAGCGCCGGCUAACUACGUG
rnacentral:rRNA from 1 species